rnacentral:rRNA from 1 species
GUUUGAUCCUGGCUCAGGAUGAACGCUGGCUGUGUGCCUAAUACAUGCAUGUCGAACGAAGUACUUGUACUUAGUGGCAAAUGGGUGAGUAACACGUACCUAACUUGCCUUUUAGAUUGGGACAACCACGGGAAACUGUGGCUAAUACCAAAUAUGUAUAAAAAACAUAUGUUUUUUAUAUGAAAGGAAGCGAUUGCUUUGCUAAAAGAUAGGGGUGCGCUACAUUAGCUUGUUGGUAGGGUAAAAGCCUACCAAGGCUAUGAUGUAUAGUGGGAUCGAGAGGUUGAACCACCACACUGGGAUUGAGAUACGGCCCAGACUCCUACGGGAGGCAGCAGUAGGGAAUAUUCCACAAUGAGCGAAAGCUUGAUGGAGCGACACAGCGUGUAGGAUGAAUGCCUUAGGGUUGUAAACUACUGUUAUAAGAGAAGAAUAGCUAAAAAAGGAAAUGUUUUUAGUCUGACGGUAUCUUAUCAGAAAGCAGUUGCAAACUAUGUGCCAGCAGCAGCGGUAAUACAUAGACUGCAAGCGUUAUCCGGAAUUAUUGGGCGUAAAGCAUUCGUAGGUUGUUUAUUAAGUUUGGUGUUAAAAACAAAAGCUCAACUUUUGUUUGCAUUAAAUACUAAUAGACUAGAGUUAUAAAGAGGUUAAUGGAACUCCAUAUGAAGCGGUGGAAUGCGUAGAUAUGUGGAAGAACACCAAUGGCGAAGGCAAUUAACUGGAUAUACACUGACACUGAGGGAUGAAAGCGUGGGGAGCAAACAGGAUUAGAUACCCUGGUAGUCCACGCUGUAAACGAUGUUUGUUAAUCGGUGGUGAAAUCACUGAUACAGCUAACGCAAUAAACAAACCGCCUGAGUAGUAUGCUCGCAAGAGUGAAACUUAAAGGAAUUGACGGGGAGCCGCACAAGCGGUGGAGCAUGUGGUUUAAUUCGACGCUACGCGAAGCACCUUACCAACAUUUGACAUCUUUUGCAAAGGCAUAGAGAUAUGCUGGAGGAUAACAAAAAGACAGGUGGUGCAUGGCCGUCGUCAGCUCGUGCCGUGAGGUGUUGGGUUAAGUCCUAUAACGAGCGCAACCCUUUUCUUUAGUUACUAACAUUUAGUUGAGCACUCUAAAGAUACUGCCUAGGUAACUAGGAGGAAGGAGGGGAUGAGGUAGGUCAUCAUGCCUCUUACAUGUUGGGUUACACACGUGCUACAAUGGCAAAUACAAAGAGAAGCAAAAUCGUGAGGUGGAGCAAAUCUGUAAAAUUUGUCUCAGUUCGGAUUGGAGUCUGCAACUCGACUCCAUGAAGUAGGAAUCGCUAGUAAUCCUAGAUCAUCAAUGCUAGGGUGAAUACGUUCUCGGCUCUUGUACACACCGCCCGUCAAACCAUGGGAGUUGGUAAUACCCAAAGCUAGUUAGUUAACCAUUUAUUUGGAGGCAACUAUCUAAGGUAGGAUCAAUGACUGGGGUUAAGUCGUAACAAGGUAACC